ACGACCGCAAAAAAAUUUUGCGGUCGUAUAUUGGUAUGACGUUGGCGUCGUCGUCGUCGUCGUCGUCCGGCGUCGUCGUCGUCGUCGUCGUCGUCCGGCGUCGUCGUCGUCGUCCGAAGACACAUUGGUUUUCGCACUCUAACUUUAGUUUAAGUAAAUGGAUCUCUAUGAAAUUUUACCAUAAGGUUCAAUACCACAAAAGGAAGGUGGGGAUUGAUUUGGGGGGUUAUGGUACCAACAGUUAAGGGGCCAAAAAGGGGCCAAAAAAUAAGCAUUUUUGUAACUUCCAGACAUAACUUGUGUGUUAGUGUAUGGAUCUCUCUGACAUUGUACCACAAGGAAGGUGGGGAUUGAUUUGGGGGGUUAUGGUACCAACAGUUAAGGGGCCAAAAAGGGGCCAAAAAAUAAGCAUUUUUGUAACUUCCAGACAUAACUUGUGUGUUAGUGUAUGGAUCUCUCUGACAUUGUACCACAAGGAAGGUGGGGAUUGAUUUGGGGGGUUAUGGUACCAACAGUUAAGGGGCCAAAAAGGGGCCAAAAAAUAAGCAUUUUUGUAACUUCCAGACAUAACUUGUGUGUUAGUGUAUGGAUCUCUCUGACAUUGUACCACAAGGUUCCAUAUCACAAAGGGAAUGCUGGGAUUAUUUUGGGGGUAAUUGCCUCCAAAUUUUAGGAAUAAGGGGCCAAAAAGGGGCAAAAAACAAGCAUUUUUCUAGUUUCAUGACAAUAACUUGUGUGUAAGUGUAUGGAUCUCUCUGACAUUGUAUCACAAGGUUCCAUAUCACAAAGGGAAAGCUGGGAUUGAUUUUGGGGGUUAUUGCCUACAAAUUUUAGGAAUUAGGGGCAAAAAAGCUUCAAAAAAACAAGCAUUUUUCUAGUUUCAUGACAAUAACUUGUGUGUAAGUGUAUGGAUCUUUAUGAAAUUGUACUACAAGGUUCCAUAUCACAAAGGAAAAGCUUUAAUUGAGUUUGGGGGUAAUUGCCCAAAACGUUUAGGAAUAAGGGGCCAAAAAUAAGCAUUUUUUUAGUUUCCAGACAAUAACUUGUGUUCAAGUGUAUGGAUCUCUCUGAAAUUGUACUGCAAGGUACCAUACCACAAAGGGAAGGCUGGGAUUGAUUUUGGGGGUAAUUGCCUCAAAAUUUUAGGAAUAAGGGGCAUAAAGGGGCAAAGAACAAGCAUUUUUCUAGUUUCAGGACAAUAACUUGUGUGUAAGUGUAUGGAUCUUUAUGAAAUUGUACUGCAAGGUUCCAUAUCACAAAGGGAAAGCUGGGUUUGAGUUUGGGGGUAAUUGCCCUAAACGUUUAGGAAUUUGGGGCCAAAAAGGGGCCAAAAAAAAGCAUUUUCUAGUUUCCAGACAAUAACUUGUGUUCAAGUGUAUGGAUCUCUCUGAAAUUGUACUGCAAGGUACCAUACCACAAAGGGAAGGCUGGGAUUGAGUUUGGGGGUGAUGAAUCAUAAGGGGGUUCAAAAAAUUUGGGGAGGGAUUUUUUUUUGUUUUUUUCUUUAAAAUUUUCCAUUUUGAAUUGGUUAUUUCUGAUUUAUAUAUAAAAGCAAAUAAUAAUGAUAUGGUUUGAAUAGGUAAAUUAAAAAUUUUUAAGUUCUUAGACCACAUUCAUUCUGUGUCAGAAACCUAUGCUGUGUCAAAUAUUUAAUUACAAUCUAAAUUCAGUGCUGUAUCAAGCUUGAAUGUUGUGUCCAUACUUGCCCCAACUGUUCAGGGUUCGACCUCUGCGGUCGUAUCAAGCUGCGCCCCAGCGGAGCAUUUUAUUAGCUUAUAAAUCUCUAACGAGAACACUUUAUAAUAAACGCCAAAUUGUGGUCGUAUCAAGCUGCGAGAUUGUUUAAGGCUUUUGUAGUUAAUAAUUUAAACAAUGCUCUAGUAUCAUCAACUGCAUUGUGUGCACAAUAGUUUUCACCAAGAAGUUCUGACACCAAUGAAGUUUGAGAAUAUGAUGGUAAUCCUGGCAUUAUUUUCUUAAAUAACUCCAUGGUGUCUAUGAAUCCACAUAUGUGAGAUGGAAACUCAUUCCACAUCAGAUUUGCCUUUAAAGAAUGGUACAAAACAUGGCAAUCAAAGUGUUUGAUGUUGUGUCCUACAAGAACUGGCUUGGAUGGAUAUUUGGAAAGAAAUGUUAUAAAAUCAGUGAGAGCUUCAUGUGGUAAUUUGUACGAAACAGGUUGUAAAUUAUAAAACAUCUGAUUUGCAGAAACAGUAAUUUUCAUAUGACCGCAAAAAAUUUUUGCGGCCGUAUAUUGGUUUGACGUUGGUGUCGUCCGAAGACACAUUGGUUUUCCGCAAUAACUUUAGUUUAAGUGAAUGGAUCUCUCUAUGAAAUUUUACCAUAAGGUUCAGUACCACAAAAGGAAGGUUGGGAUUGAUUUUAGGGGUUAUGGUACCAACAGUUAAUGAAUUAGGGGCCGAAAAGGGGCCAAAAAUAAGCAUUUUUGUAACUUCCAGACAAUAACUUGAGUGUUAGUGUAUGGAUUUCUCUGACAUUGUACCACAAGGUUCCAUAUCACAAAGGGAAUGCUUGGAUUGAUUUUGGGGGGUAAUUGCCUCAAAAUUUUAGGAAUUAGGGGCAAAAAAAGGGGCAAAAAACAAGCAUUUUUCUAGUUUCAUGACAAUAACUUGUGUGUAAGUGUAUGGAUCUUUCUAAAAUUGUACUACAAGGUUCCAUAUCACAAAGUGAAAGCUGGAAUUGACUUUGGGGGCAAUUUCCCAAAACGUUUAGGAAUAAGGGGCCAAAAAAAAGCAUUUUUCUAGUUUCCAGACAAGGAUCUCUCUGAAAUUGUCUUGCAAGGUACCAUAUCACAAAGGGAAGGCUGGGAUGGAUUUUGGGGAUAAUUGCCUCAAAAUUUUAGGAAUUAAGGGCCAAAAAGGGGCAAAAAACAAGCAUUUUUCUAGUUUCAGGACAAUAACUUGUGUGAAAGUGUAUGAAUUUUUAUGAAAUUGUACUACAAGGUUCCAUAUCACAAAGGGAAAGCUGGGUUUAAGUUUGGGGGUAAUUGCCCUAAACGUUUAGGAAUUUGGGGCCAAAAAGGGGCCAAAAAACAAGCAUUUUUCUAGUUUCCAGACAAUAACUUGUGUUCAAGUGUAUGGAUCUCUCUGAAAUUGUACUGCAAGGUACAAAUGUACCAUACCACAAAGAGAAGGCUGGGAUUGAGUUUGAGGGUGAUAAAACAUAAGGGGUUCAAAAAAUUUGGGGGGAUUUUUUUCUAUUUUAAGACUUUUAUAAUGUAUUUAAAUUGGUAAUUAUGGUUGCAAACUCCAUUGGAAAUUUGAAUUGACAUGAGAUUAUGACCAUAUCUUGAGGGAAAGAAUUUUUUUUGGAAAAAGGGGGGG